GACGAACGCUGGCGGCGUGCCUAAUACAUGCCAGUCGAACGCUGAAGGAGGAGCUUGCUUCUCUGGAUGAGUUGCGAACGGGUGAGUAACGCGUAGGUAACCUGCCUGGUAGCGGGGGAUAACUAUUGGAAACGAUAGCUAAUACCGCAUAAGAGUAGAUGUUGCAUGACAUUUGCUUAAAAGGUGCAAUUGCAUCACUACCAGAUGGACCUGCGUUGUAUUAGCUAGUUGGUGGGGUAACGGCUUACCAAGGCGACGAUACAUAGCCGACCUGAGAGGGUGAUCGGCCACACUGGGACUGAGACACGGCCCAGACUCCUACGGGAGGCAGCAGUAGGGAAUCUUCGGCAAUGGACGGAAGUCUGACCGAGCAACGCCGCGUGAGUGAAGAAGGUUUUCGGAUCGUAAAGCUCUGUUGUAAGAGAAGAACGAGUGUGAGAGUGGAAAGUUCACACUGUGACGGUAUCUUACCAGAAAGGGACGGCUAACUACGUG
rnacentral:rRNA from 1 species